rnacentral:rRNA from 1 species
CAGUAGCCACGGGAAAACAGAGGGUGCAAGCGUUAAUCGGAAUUACUGGGCGUAAAGCGCGCGUAGGUGGUUUGUUAAGUUGGAUGUGAAAUCCCCGGGCUCAACCUGGGAACUGCAUCCAAAACUGGCAAGCUAGAGUAUGGUAGAGGGUGGUGGAAUUUCCUGUGUAGCGGUGAAAUGCGUAGAUAUAGGAAGGAACACCAGUGGCGAAGGCGACCACCUGGACUGAUACUGACACUUAGGUGCGAAAGCGUGGGGAGCAAACAGGAUUAGAUACCCCCGUAGUCCCUGUCUCUUAUAC